CCUACGGGAGGCAGCAGUGAGGAAUAUUGGUCAAUGGACGAGAGUCUGAACCAGCCAAGUAGCGUGAAGGAUGACUGCCCUAUGGGUUGUAAACUUCUUUUAUAAAGGAAUAAAACGAGGCACGUGUGCCUUUUUGCAUGUACUUUAUGAAUAAGGAUCGGCUAACUCCGUGCCAGCAGCCGCGGUAAUACGGAGGAUCCGAGCGUUAUCCGGAUUUCUUGGGUUUAAAGGGAGCGUAGAUGGGUUGUUAAGUCAGUUGUGAAAGUUUGCGGCUCAACCGUAAAAUUGCAAUUGAUACUGGCAGUCUUGAGUACAGUUGAGGUAAGCGGAAUUCGUGGUGUAGCGGUGAAAUGCUUAGAUAUCACGAAGAACCCCGAUUGCGAAGGCAGCUUACUAAACUGUGACUGACAUUGAUGCUCGAAAGUGUGGGUAUCAAACAGGAUUAGAUACCCUGGUAGUC
rnacentral:rRNA from 1 species